UGGGGAAUAUUGGACAAUGGGCGCAAGCCUGAUCCAGCCAUACCGCGUGGGUGAAGAAGGCCUUCGGGUUGUAAAGCCCUUUUGUUGGGAAAGAAAUCCUGCCGGUUAAUAACCAGUAGGGAUGACGGUACCCAAAGAAUAAGCACCGGCUAACUUCGUGCCAGCAGCCGCGGUAAUACGAAGGGUGCAAGCGUUACUCGGAAUUACUGGGCGUAAAGCGUGCGUAGGUGGUCGUUUAAGUCUGUCGUGAAAGCCCUGGGCUCAACCUGGGAAUUGCGAUGGAUACUGGGCGACUAGAGUGUGGUAGAGGAUAGUGGAAUUUCCGGUGUAGCAGUGAAAUGCGUAGAGAUCGGAAGGAACAUCUGUGGCGAAGGCGACUAUCUGGGCCAACGCUGACACUGAGGCACGAAAGCGUGGGGAGCAAACAGGAUUAGAUACCCUGGUAGUCCACGCCCUAAACGAUGCGAACUGGAUGUUGGGCACAACUUGGUGCCCAGUAUCGAAGCUAACG
rnacentral:rRNA from 1 species